GACGAACGCUGGCGGCGUGCUUAACACAUGCAAGUCGAACGAAGAGCGAUGGAAGCUUGCUUCUAUCAAUCUUAGUGGCGAACGGGUGAGUAACGCGUAAUCAACCUGCCCUUCAGAGGGGGACAACAGUUGGAAACGACUGCUAAUACCGCAUACGAUCUAACCUCGGCAUCGAGGAUAGAUGAAAGGUGGCCUCUAUUUAUAAGCUAUCACUGAAGGAGGGGAUUGCGUCUGAUUAGCUAGUUGGAGGGGUAACGGCCCACCAAGGCGAUGAUCAGUAGCCGGUCUGAGAGGAUGAACGGCCACAUUGGGACUGAGACACGGCCCAGACUCCUACGGGAGGCAGCAGUGGGGAAUCUUCCGCAAUGGACGAAAGUCUGACGGAGCAACGCCGCGUGAGUGAUGACGGCCUUCGGGUUGUAAAGCUCUGUUAAUCGGGACGAAAGGCCUUCUUGCGAAUAGUUAGAAGGAUUGACGGUACCGGAAUAGAAAGCCACGGCUAACUACGUGCCAGCAGCCGCGGUAAUACGUAGGUGGCAAGCGUUGUCCGGAAUUAUUGGGCGUAAAGCGCGCGCAGGCGGAUUGGUCAGUCUGUCUUAAAAGUUCGGGGCUUAACCCCGUGAUGGGAUGGAAACUGCCAAUCUAGAGUAUCGGAGAGGAAAGUGGAAUUCCUAGUGUAGCGGUGAAAUGCGUAGAUAUUAGGAAGAACACCAGUGGCGAAGGCGACUUUCUGGACGAAAACUGACGCUGAGGCGCGAAAGCCAGGGGAGCGAACGGGAUUAGAUACCCCGGUAGUCCUGGCCGU
rnacentral:rRNA from 1 species